rnacentral:rRNA from 1 species
CCUACGGGGGGCUGCAGCGGGGAAUAUUGGACAAUGGGGGCAACCCUGAUCCAGCCAUGCCGCGUGUGUGAAGAAGGCCCUCGGGUUGUAAAGCACUUUCAGUGAGGAAGAACGCCUGGUGGUUAAUACCCAUCAGGAAAGACAUCACUCACAGAAGAAGCACCGGCUAACUCCGUGCCAGCAGCCGCGGUAAUACGGAGGGUGCGAGCGUUAAUCGGAAUUACUGGGCGUAAAGCGCGCGUAGGUGACUUGAUAAGCCGGUUGUGAAAGCCCCGGGCUCAACCUGGGAACGGCAUCCGGAACUGUCAAGCUAGAGUGCAGGAGAGGAAGGUAGAAUUCACGGUGUAGCGGUGAAAUGCGUAGAGAUCGGGAGGAAUACCAGUGGCGAAGGCGGCCUUCUGGACUGACACUGACACUGAGGUGCGAAAGCUUGGGUAGCAAACAGGAUUAGAGACCCCUGUAGUC